AUUGAACGCUGGCGGCAUGCCUUACACAUGCAAGUCGAACGGCAGCACGGGUGCUUGCACCUGGUGGCGAGUGGCGAACGGGUGAGUAAUACAUCGGAACGUACCUUAUCGUGGGGGAUAACGCAGCGAAAGCUGUGCUAAUACCGCAUACGCCCUGAGGGGGAAAGCGGGGGAUCGCAAGACCUCGCGCGAUUAGAGCGGCCGAUGCCUGAUUAGCUAGUUGGUGGGGUAAAAGCCCACCAAGGCGACGAUCAGUAGCUGGUCUGAGAGGACGAUCAGCCACACUGGGACUGAGACACGGCCCAGACUCCUACGGGAGGCAGCAGUGGGGAAUUUUGGACAAUGGGGGCAACCCUGAUCCAGCAAUGCCGCGUGAGUGAAGAAGGCCUUCGGGUUGUAAAGCUCUUUUGUCAGGGAAGAGACACCGGCUCUAACACAGUCCGGGGAUGACGGUACCUGAAGAAUAAGCACCGGCUAACUACGUGCCAGCCGCCGCGGUAA
rnacentral:rRNA from 1 species